GUUGCGUUCUUUGGAAUGUGUACGCUGAGAGUAAUGGCGGCGGUAGAAGACGCUCUUUUGUCACAUUCGCAGUCGGUAAAGGUUGAAAGUGCGAGGGGAGCGAUGGAAACCACAGUGGCCCGGGAGGGGUUUCUAAACACCUCUGGAAGAGGAUUGGGAGAAGCUGAUUUGUGAAUGGCAAAUGAAAACUAAACUCACUAGUCAGGAUCUGAUUAUCAUCAGCUUUUCAAUGUGGAAAUAGAAAUGCUUGCCUCUUCUGUCUGUUGGGGAAAACCUCAUCGUGAGACACAGAAACACCCAAACGAGAAUGUUACCAUGCACUGACUGUGUAAAGAGCUUUAACCAAUUACGAUGCCUGAAUAAGCAUUCCACCAUUCUCAACCCAGAGAAAUUACACGUUUUUUUUAUUUAAAAGAGGUUUCAGCAAAUCAUCCAACCUGGAGAGACACAAAGAUACCAGCACCAUGGACAAACCGUGGAAAUGUGAGUACUGUGGGAAGAGAUUCAGUUGGCCAUCCCAGCUGGAAAUACAUGGACGCACUCACACGGGGGACAGGCCGUUCACCUGCUCCAAGUGUGGAAGAGGAUUCAGAGAGUCAUCCAACCUGCUUGCUCACCAGCGGGUUCACACUAAUGACAGACCUUUUAAAUGUUCAGACUGUGGAAAGUGCUACAAAUGUUCUGGGGACCUGAUGUCCCAUAAACGUGUUCACACCAAUGAGAAACCUUUCAGGUGCUCUCACUGCAAGACUGGAUUCAGAAAAUCAUCUGAACUCAGUGUACAUCAGCGCACCCAUACUGGGGAGAGGCCAUAUACCUGCUCUGCAUGCGGGAAGGGGUUCAUUAAUUCAUCCAACCUGUUGAGACACCAGCGAGUUCAUUCUGCGAAGAGAACUUUUAAAUGUUCUGACUGUGAGGAGACUUUGAAAAGUAGCAAUAACCUGCUGAGACACCAACGCACUCGCACUGGAGAGAAGCCAUUCACCUGCUCGGUGUGUAGGAAAGCAUUUUACAUGAUCAUCGACCCUGGUCACACACCAGCAAAUUCACACUGGGGAGAGACCAUUCACCUGCUCUAUGUGUGUAAAGAAAUUCACAUGUGCAUCUCACCUUCUGAAACACCAAUGCACUCAUACAGAGGACAGGCCAUUGACUUGCUCUGUUUGUGGGAAGGGAUUCACUGAGUCAUCCAAUCUGCUGCAACAUCAGCGAGUUCACUACUGACUGGGAGUCAGAUUCUGACAGUAUUGCUGCUGGCCAUUACAGCCAGGACUGACCUAGCAAGUUGAUCUUGAGGAGAGCAAGAAGUGUGUUCCAGCCAUUUUUCUUCCCUGGCUCAGAACUCCCAGCCCUUGAUCAGAAAAUUCUUUACAAUUGUAUAUAAUGUCAGAAAUAACAAUGAUGAAAGCUGGAAAUGUGCUGUCAGAUCAAAAUUGGUGUAGAACGAUGACCUUUCCUGGCUGGAAGUUAAUGGGCAGAUUUAUGUUUUCCCUACAUUAGUAAACACAAAACUGGAACAAAACCUUCCAUUGCUAAUAUGGCAUCUCUCAGCCUUCUCUUUUCCAAGGAAAAGAUCUUCAGGCUUUCCUAAUCCUAUACCUUCACUUUGGGUGUGAUAACAUACUGGCUGUGUGUUAGAAGGAUUUCCUCAUGCCGAGGAAAUAGUACAUUCUUUUUGGUUCCGACAAGAAUUGACUGAGAAAGAGAGAGAAAAGAACAUCUCCAGUAACAUAAAAUCAGAUAUUAGAUGGAGAACAUGUACAAGUGGAAAACUCAAAUAUCACAUCUGGAUCUGACAGUGAUGCUUGAUUCCUGGAAACAGAAAGCACCCCAUUCACAGGAUGAAGAAACUGCAACACAUGUUGUGGAUGUGGAUGAGGCUACAGUCGAUCAUCUGGAUUGCGAAAACAUAAGCAGAGUCACACUGGGGAGAAACCAUGUAAAUGUAGGGACUGUGAGAAUGUAUUCAAUUAUUCAUAUGAGCUGGAAUAUCAUUGAUGCAGUCAUCCAGGAGAGAGGUUGUUCUGUUGCAGUGAAUGUGGUGAAGCAUUUGUUCAUUCAUCCACCUUGCUGAUGGACCAGCAGGUUCACACUGGAGAGAGGCCAUUUACCAUUUCUGUGUGUGGGAACAGGUACAUAUUUUUAUUUGCAAAAUUGAGACAGUGUCAUUGCUGUAACUGGGAUAACAGCUUUAAAUGUCCAUGUGGACUGAGGGAGAACCAGCACAUUCCCAUUGGGUAUUCCCCAUUCCAAAGCUCUUACUGCAGCAAGAAAUUCAGGCGAUCAUCCAGCCUGUCGAUACAUCAGCGAAUUCACACUGGGGAGAGACCUUUCACAUGCUCUUGUGUGUGGGAAGGGAUUCAUUAAUUCGUCCAAGCUGCUAGUACAUCAGUAUCUACACUGGGGAGAAAUCUUUCCAAUGCCUAGAUUGCAGGAAAUUGGACAAGUGCUUGAAAGAAAAUAGUUUCAGGCUGAUUGAGGAAGCAGCGGUGGAGAGGGUGAAGUCUGAAACCCAGUCAUGUCACUGCAGACAGGUCACCAUGACAACAUUGACAAACAUUCCGUUCCACAUUGUUUCACACAAGUGGCUAGAAUGUCAAAGUAAAAUCUUAAAUAAUGGGGAAAGUUAUUAUCUGAAAUGUACAGCCAGAGAAGGUGGUAGAGGCAGAUUUACUGGAGAUUUACAAGAGGAGAUUGUCACUCGGUGAAUUUCUCAGUCAGGUGGUCAUCCAAGUGUUACAGGAAGAAGCUGAAGGAUUGAUAAUUGCUGAUUUGAGACUCAGGGACCAGCACCAGCACCACCAUCAGCUUCCAUCCCCCGACUCCAUCAAUAAUAAACCCUGCAGUGCAGACUGUUAACUGGUAUCAAUUUCCCUCUGCAUCUUACAAUUGGGGCACUGUCGAGUGGAGGUUAGUGCUUGUUCAGCAAUUCCCUGUAACUACCGCAGUGCAAGUUCUGUUCUGCAGCCUCUGAGCUGAAUGGCCUGAAAAAGUUCCUGUUGCCCUGCCCUUACUUGGCCUGUUUGCCCUUACUUGACCUUCUGGAAAGUUGCUCUGGCCCAAUGUGAAAAUAUUGCCCACUUGAAUUGAGGUUUGUGUCCUACAGAAAGGAGACUGGAGGCAUGGUGUCAUGAUGCAAUGAUAAACGGCCUCUCCCUCAAUGUCAGCAAAACAAAAGAACUAAUCAUUGACUUCAGGAAGAAGGGAGGAGAACACAUUCCCAUCUAAGUCAACAGAGCGGAAAUUGAGAGUUAAGUUUCCAGGAGUGAUGAUAAAAAAUCAAGAAACUGGCCUGGACUUACCAGUUAGAUGUGACGGUCAAGAAGGCACAAUGACAUCUCUUCUUCUGCAGGCAGCUUAGGAAAUUUGCCAAGUCCAUAAGGACCAUCACCAACUUUUACAGAUGCAUCAUAGAAAGCAUACUGCCCUGGGUUCAAAAUGCCCUGGUACGACAACUGCUCUGCCCAGGACUGAACUAACUGUAGAAGACGGUGUGCGCAGGCCUCACCAUCACGGAAGCCAACCUUCCACCCAAGGACUACAUGCCUACAAAGAAAGGGUACCAACAUCAUAAAAGACCCCUCCCACUGUGUAAUGCUCUCCCACAACCUCUUCCAUCAGGCAGAAGAUACAGUAGCUUGAACAAACGCACCAGCAGGUUCAAGAACAGCUUUUUUCCGGACAUUAUUAGACUGAUGAAUGGGCUAUCUAACUUCAAAUCAUGUUAAAAUGCUGAUCUUGCUCAGCACAUCUCCUGUGUGACGUACGCUACACACCUCACUCAGUCCCAGCAUCCUUUGACCUGUAUAUCCUUGCUUACUAUGAUUUGCCUGCAGUGGUCACAAGACAAAGUUUUACACCGUACACAUGGCAGUAAAUAAAUAAGUCAAAUCUCGAGGUGUUCUCUCGUCUAGUCAGGGCUGUCCUCACCACAGUCCUCCCUCCAGUCUGAUUGCUAGGUUUCACCUCUGAGCCCUUCACCUACUGCUGUCCUGCUGCUGAUCUUGACCUCAGGCAUUUUCUUGCUGCUAACCACCAUUUCUCUAGGUGUAGUCACUGUGUGCCUCAAAGUCUGACUAUCAGUUUCUGAGACCUUUGGACAGACUGGUCAGGACGUAAUACCAUUUAAGACAAGCGCCAUUGUUUACUAUAACCCACGUGCAGAGGCAUCUGAUGGGCAGAAUAGUCUACUCCCGUGUUGCUAUGACUUGUAAUGUUUUUUAAUGUACUUUUCUUUAUUCUGGUAUUUAACAAAAUAAA